rnacentral:sRNA from 1 species
GAUCCACGUACAACUGAACACCCUGACAAAACUAUUCUCACGAUGCCCAACGUCAGAAUCGUCACCAAAUCGACGAGUCGACGCAUUCGAUAUGGCCACACCCGGCAUCCUACCGGCACUCAACAGGCAAUGUGUACUCCGUGCACUGAAAAUGGCUCGAAUUUUGCACUGUCAAGUGCCCAAAUCGUCGAGAUUCGACCGCAAACACUAUUUCUAUGCGGACAUGCCGGCCGGCUAUCAGAUCACUCAAAACGAGAAGCCCAUCGCGAAAAAUGGGAAAUUCGGAUUUUGGGUGUUCGAUGAGCGCAUUGAGGUGCCGUAUUGGAAGGAGGUGCGGCCGAAAUUUUUGGAAAAUUCGAGAAAAAUUAGUGGAAAUAGCGAAAAAAUCGAGUUUCUAGCUCGAAAAUUGAGCGAGUUAGCGAAAAUUGCCACUUUUCGGCCGUUUUUUGGGAAUUUUCAGCGAUUUUUGAAGAUUUUUGGGGAUAUUUGGCGACUUUCGCAAGCUUCUAGCAACUUUCAACAACUUUCGCCAAAAUUUCGGCAACUUUUGACAGAAUUUGGUCAACUUCCGCCAGCUUUCGGCAAUUUUCGACAAACUUCACCACUUUUUUGCUACUUUCGGGAACUCGCGGCAACUUUCGGCAAAUAUCGACCGUUUUUGGCAACUUUUGGUCGUUUUUCGAGAACUUUCUGCUACUUCCGGCAUGUUUUAAUGAUUUUUGGCGACUUUUGCGAGCUUCUAGCAAUUUUCGGCAAUUUUCGACAACUUUCUCCGAACUUCGACAGCUUGCGACAGCUUUUCACUAGUGUAGACAAUUUUCAACAGCCUUUCGACCACUUUUCCACGAUUUUCGGCAACUUUCGACAGAUUGCCGACUUUCGGCCAUUUUUCGGGAAUUUUCCACGAUUUUUGGCGACUUUCGUGAGCUUCCAGCAACUUUCGACGAUUUUUUGGCAAUUUCUGACAUUUUUUUGAGAACUCUCGCUGCAACUUUCCGCAACAUUCGACAACAUUCGCCAGAGAUUCGGCAAAUUUCGUCAAGCUUUCGACAACUUUCGACAGUUUUUACGCAACUUUCUACAUUUUCCCACGUGGUGUCAUGUGCUGUCACAUUACAGUUUGAUCUACAAAAAAUGCGGGAAUUUUUUCCCAAAAAAAAAGUGACGUCAGAGCGUUAUUAACCAUGCAACCAUGCACGUAGUGUCAAAGUGUCCCAUUUCGGUUUGAUCUAUGUAGAUCUACAAAAAAUGCGGCAGAGUUCUCAACAGAUUUCGCAUGGUUAAGAACGUGCUGACGUCACAUGUUUUUGGGCAAAAAUUCCCGCAUUUUUUGUAGAUCAAACUGUGAUGGGACAGCCUGACAAUACGUGACCAUGCGAAAUCAGUUGAGAACUCUGCCGCAUUUUUUGUAGAUCAACGUAGAUCAAGCCGAAAUGAGACACACUCUGUCACCACGUGUUUUCCUAUAACUUUCGACAGACUUUCGCCAGCAGACUUUCGACAGUUUUCGACCAAUUUUCCACGAUUUUUGGCAACUUUCGACAGACUUUCGACAACAUUCGCUAGAGAUUCGGCAACUAUCGUCAGCUUUCCGCAAUUUUCGACGGUUUUUUGCAACUUUCUUCAAUUUUCGAACACUUUCGCCAAAAUUUCUGCAACUUCCGACAGAAUUUGUUGAACUUUCGCCAGCUUUCCGCAACUUUUGACAGCUUUUCAAAAAUUUUCGGCAACUUUCGACAGUUUACUUCAAAUUUCUACAUUAUCCUAUAACUUUCGUCAAACUUUCGACGAUUUUCAACAAUUUUUGGCGACAUUCGACAGUUCUCAGCAAUUUAUGGCAAUUUCCGACAACUUUCGUCAGUUUACUGCGAAUUUCUACAUUUUCCUAUAACUUGCAACAGUUUUGAACAACUUUUUACAAUUAUCGACAACUUUCUCCAAACUCCGACGGCUUGCGACAGCUUUUCACUAGUGUAGGCAAUUUUCGACAGACUUCUGACAACAUUUCAUUAAUUUUCGACCAAUUUUCGACCAAUUUUCCACGAUUUUUGGCGACUCGGGAAACUUCUGACAACUUUCUGCAACAGUUUUCGACAACUUUCGACCGUUUAAUGAGAAUUUCUACAUUUUCCUAUAACUUUCGACUUUUCAAAAAUUUUCGGCAACUUUCGACCAAUUUUUCACGAUUUUUGGCAACUUUUCUUUUUAUUGGAAGACUUUCGACAGCUUCCGGCAGUUUACUGCAACUUUCGGCAACUUUCUUCAAAUUUCGCCUACUGUCUCCAAACUUUCGACAACUUUUCACUAGCAUAGACAAUUUUCGACAACUUUCGAGAAACUUCUGACGACUUUUCAAAAAGUUUCGGCAACUUUCGACCAAUUUUUCCCGAUUUUUGGCAAUUUUCGAUAAACUUUCGACAAUUUUCGGCAACUUUUGUAUUUAUUGGAGACAACUUUCGACAACACACGUAGUGUCACGUGCUGUCCCAUUACGGUUUGAUCUACAAAAAAUGCGGGAAUUUUUUUCCCAAAAAAUGUGACGUCAGCACACUCUUAGCCAAUCAGUUGAGAAGUCGGCGUAAUUUCUCUCGCAUUUUUUCGAAGAUCUACGUAGAUCAAACCGAAAUUGGACACUUUCUACAAUGUAAUAUAAUAAUCCUAAUUUAAUUGACGAAAUGUCCAAGUUUUAAUGAAAAAAUUUCAAAAACCCCCAAAAUCUUUACAGGUAGAAAUUCUACAACUCCAACUUGAGCAAGAUUCGGGAAAAACCAUCCAUAUGACGUCACAAGCAGCUCCGCCCACAUCUCUAAUCGAUUAUAAUCGUGCCGGGUGUGCACUUGUCGAGAUAGUGACGUCACCAUGCUUCACAACAGCCAUCGAAGCGAUCAGAUUUGUGCAAAUUCUUCGGCUUCUGCUCAUUCACCACGCGAUUUGUGACGGAGAACUGCACAGGGGACAUAUUCGAGUUGAUGCUAAUGUUUCACUGGCAAAGGAUGACGUUUGGG